CUGUUCAGAUAGCCAUGCACGUCUAAGUACAAACUAAAUGAUGGUGAAACUGCAAAUGGCUCAUUACAACGGUUAUGAUGUACCCGGGAGUUCCGAUGGAUAUUUCCAGUAACACUAGAACUAAUACAUGUCCCUGCGUUUAUUAGUUUCGCACAGUCCGUCGCUGAGUCAUGGUAAACAGUUGAUCGACUCGUCGUCCCGGAACAGUUUCCGCCCCAUCAGCUUCGAUGGUUGGGUAUUGGCCUACCAUUGCAACAACGGGUAACGAGGAAUUAGGGUUUGAUUUCGGAGAGGGAGCCUGAGAAACGGCUACCACAUCUACGGAUGGCAGCAGGCGCGCAAAUUACCCAAUGCAGACACUGUGAGGUAGUGACGAGAAAUAAUAAAGCGGGACUUCUGUUUCGCUAUUAUAAUGAGGAAUAACCAAAGGUCAUUCCGAUUAGCAACUGAUGGGAAAGUCUGGUGCCAGCAGCCGCGGUAAUACCAGCGUCAGUAGCAUA
rnacentral:rRNA from 1 species